UGUACAGCUUCUCUCCGGGCACACAGUCGACCAUCACACACAGUUGGUUGGUUGUCUCUCUCUAUCGACACAUAUCCUGCUGGCGCUCCACGACGCGUUGAUAGAAAUUCAUUUGUUUCCCGGCCAACUUUCACGUUUUUAGAAUUUGCCGUUUUUUUACCGCAGCCGCCAAUUCAUUUGUCUUUGGCACUAUUAUGUACGUAUUCGUUAAUUACGCCCUUGAACUUCUCGUCCUCGAGAAUUACGGAAAAGAUGUCUGGGAGCAAAUCAAGAAAGAAGCCGAAGUCAACAUUGAAGGUCAUUUCCUUGUCCGACAAAUCUACGAGGACGACGUGACUUAUUAUAACAUCAUCAUCGUCGGAGCAGCUGAACGUGUUCUCAGUAAGUCCUCAAUUCUUUAUUAAUACAUCAGCAGCUAUAUGUAGGAGGAGGAUAAUAGAAAUUGCAUUCCAUUUGAUGAAUUCCAUGGAAUGCCUCUUAUUCGUCUUCUUCUUCUUCCUUAAUAUUUGAUUAUGUGAAAUCAACUCGAAUGUGCAGAAGUGCCAGCCAAUCGGUAAAGAUGACAUAAAGUGCGUCAUAUUAGCCUUUUUCGCGUCGUUGUAGCUUUCAUUUAAAUUGACGUUUGUACUUUUACAAUCCCUGACCCAAAAUGAGGUGAAUAAACUUCCUCCCUUAUCCUCAA